CAGACCGAUCGUCGGAUGGGAUG
rnacentral:siRNA from 1 species